AACGUAGGUGGCAAGCGUUAUCCGGAAUUACUGGGCGUAAAGGGUGUGCAGGCGGGAGUGUAAGUGGUGUAUGAAAUAUCCCAGCUUAACUGGGAGGGGUUAUGCCAGACUGCACUUCUAGAGGACGAGAGAGGGGGGUGGAAUUCCGGGAGUAGUGGUGAAAUGCGUAGAGAUCCGGAGGAACCCCAGAGGCGAAGGCGGCCCCCUGGCUCGUACCUGACGCUCAGCCACGAAAGCAUGGGGAGCGAACGGG
rnacentral:rRNA from 1 species